AUUGAACGCUGGCGGCAGGCCUAACACAUGCAAGUCGAACGAGUGGCGGACGGGUGAGUAAUGUCUGGGAAACUUCCCGAUGGAUGGGGAUAACUACUGGAAACGGUAGCUAAUACCGCCUUCCAUCGGAUGUGCCCAAAUGGGAUUAGCUAGUAGGUGGGGUAACGGCUCACCUAGGCGACGAUCCCUAGCCGGGCUGAGAGGAUGACCAGCCACACUGGAACUGAGACACGGUCCAGACUCCUACGGGAGGCAGCAGUGGGGAAUAUUGGACAAUGGGAGCAAGCCUGAUGCAGCCAUGCCGCGUGUAUGAAGAAGGCCUUCGGGUUGUAAAGUACUUUCAGCGGGGAGGCGGUACCCGAAGAAGAAGCACCGGCUAACUCCGUGCCAGCAGCCGCGGUAAUAC
rnacentral:rRNA from 1 species